rnacentral:rRNA from 1 species
UACGGAGGGCGCAAGCGUUGUUCGGAUUUACUGGGCGUAAAGCGUGUCUAGGUGGAUCUGUAAGUCAGGUGUGAAAUCCCCCGGCCUAACCGGGGAGGGUCGAUUGAAACUGCAGGUCUUGAGUCUCAGAGAGGUGGGUGGAAUUCCCAGUGUAGAGGUGAAAUUCGUAGAUAUUGGGAGGAACAUCGGAGGCGAAAGAGGCUCACGAUCUGAGCAGUGACACUCAAGCACGAAAGCGUGGGUAGCAAACAGG